rnacentral:rRNA from 1 species
CGUGGAGUGAUUUGUCUGGUUUAUUCCGAUAACGAGCGAGACUCUAACCUACUAAAUAGUUUCACGAUUUUCAAGUCAUGUAGACUUCUUAGAGGGAUAAGCGGUGUUUAACCGCACGAGAUUGAGCGAUAACAGGUCUGUGAUGCCCUUAGAUGUCCGGGGCUGCACGCGCGCUACACUGGAGAAUUCAGCUGGUCUUCCAUUGCCGAAAGGUAUUGGUAAACCGUUGAAACUUCUCCGUGACCGGGAUAGGGAAUUGUAAUUAUUUCCCUUGAACGAGGAAUUCCUAGUAAGUGUGAGUCAUCAGCUCACGCUGAAUACGUCCCUGCCCUUUGUAC